rnacentral:rRNA from 1 species
AUUGAACGCUGGCGGCAGGCCUAACACAUGCAAGUCGAACGAGUGGCGGACGGGUGAGUAACGUCUGGGAAACUGCCUGACGGAGGGGGAUAACUACUGGAAACGGUAGCUAAUACCGCAUACCAUCAGAUGUGCCCAGACGGAAUUAGCUUGGUGGUGGUGUAACGGCUCACCAAGGCGACGAUCCCUAGCUGGUCUGAGAGGAUGACAAGCCACACUGGAACUGGGACACGAUCCGGUCUCCUCCGGGAGGCAGCAGUGUGAAAUAUUGCGCAAUGGGCGCAAGCCUGAUACAGCCAUGCCUCGUGUAUGAAGAAUGCCUUCUGGUUGUAAAGUACUUUCAGCGGGGAGGCGUUACCCGCAGAAGAAGCACCGGCUAACUCCGUGCCAGCAGCCGCGGUAAUUC